AUCCUCACAUGCCGUCCCCGGCAAAAUGCCGACCUGGGCGGCCGCCCAAUUCGCCCAUAUGAGAAACUUCUACUGCACAGAGGAGGCGGGUCUGCUCUGAUUGGCUGAAAAGUUAAUGACUGCUCUGAUCGGCUGCUCCAGUGUGUUACUGAUGUUGUGGACUUUCUUCACUUUUCAGAACUGGACUCGAGGUUUCUGCAUCAUCCUGCUUUGUGUUCUGCUACAUCUGCACAGCUUUUGAAAGAUUUCAGCUCUUCUCCAGAAGCGACAUCUGAUCGUGUGUGAGGACAUGGACAAAGGGCUGAAGUGUGAGGACAAGGAGUUUGAGUAUGAGGUCGUAGAGCAGGAGGACGUUGAGCCACGUUCCUCGGAGGAAGAAAAGUCAGAGGGGAAUGGGUGCAUUAAGCAUUGUGUGGCAACCCAUUGUGAAGAAAAGGUGAGUGUUAAUAAGCAGAAUUUAGUGCUGUGUACAUGAAAUCGUUAUAUUUAAACCCAAUAUUUUAUAUUAUAUUUUUCUGAAGUGUUCAUUUUAAGUAUUUUGUGCUAUUUAUACGUGUGCCUUUAA